rnacentral:rRNA from 1 species
UACGUAGGGGGCUAGCGUUGUCCGGAAUCAUUGGGCGUAAAGAGCGUGUAGGCGGUCCGGUAAGUCCGCUGUGAAAGUCGGGGGCUCAACCCUCGAAUGCCGGUGGAUACUGUCGGGCUAGAGUGCGGAAGAGGCGAGUGGAAUUCCUGGUGUAGCGGUGAAAUGCGCAGAUAUCAGGAGGAACACCAAUUGCGAAGGCAGCUCGCUGGGACGUAACUGACGCUGAGACGCGAAAGCGUGGAGAGCAAACAGG